AGCUCCGAUAGCGUAUAGUACAAUUGCUGUGGCUAAAAAGCUCAUAGUUGGAUCUCGCGGACGGGAGCGCGUCGCCGUUGGCUUAACGGUGACGUCCGCUGUCCUGGUAGAUUGCCCUCUGUCCACCCGGCGGCGCUAUUCACUUAGCGUCGGUACGGCGUGCAGGGCGCGUUUACCUUGGCAAAAUUAGAGUGCUCAAAGCAGGCUCUGAAGCUUCUAUAAAACACCAUGGAAUGAUCGAAGAUGACCACCGGGGCGGUGCCGGGCGGCCGCACCCGGGGUAAUGGUUAAAAGAAAAUAUGACGGGGGCUUACGUAUUGCGGGGCGAGAGGUGAAAUUUAAUGACCCUCGCAGGACGACCGAAAGCGAAAGCAUUUGCCAAGAAUGUCUUCA
rnacentral:rRNA from 1 species